rnacentral:tRNA from 1 species
AGGUAGCCAAGUGGAGUAAGGCAAU